AUUGAACGCUGGCGGCAGGCCUAACACAUGCAAGUCGAACGAGUGGCGGACGGGUGAGUAAUGUCUGGGAAACUGCCCGAUGGAGGGGGAUAACUACUGGAAACGGUCGCUAAUACCGCAUACCAUCGGAUGUGCCCAGAUGGGAUUAGCGAGUAGGUGGGGUAACGGCGCACCUAGGCGACGAUCCCUAGCUGGUCUGAGAGGAUGACCAGCCAUACUGGAACUGAGAGACGGUCCAGCCGCCUACGGGAGGCAGCAGGGGGGAAUAGUGCACAAUGGGCGCAAGGCUGAUGCAGCCAUGCCGCGUGUAUGAAGAAGGCCUUCGGGUUGUAAAGUACUUUCGGCGGGGAGGCGUUACCCGCAGAAGAAGCGCCGGCUAACUCCGUGCCAGCAGCCGCGGUAAUUC
rnacentral:rRNA from 1 species